rnacentral:lncRNA from 1 species
GCACCCCACCCGCCCCCUCCCGGAAGCACGCGCCCGCGCCCACGAGCAGCCUGCUUUUCUUCUUAUUGGCAGUGUUUAAUCAACUAAAAUUACAAAAGGUAUUCAGUGACUUCCUGUGGCCACGGCUCCUCACUGCAGUCACCACCCAGCCUACUUCACACCCAUCAGAUCCUGCCAUGAAAAUCCCGAUCUCUCCAGACUCUCACUCCUUGAGGACUCUUCCAGGAGACAAAUGCUGAUUGCACACAUAAACUCCAGCCAAGAUUGCCAUACUUGAGGCUCCUAUAGAUGCAUUGUGCAAGAGAGAAAUCUUAGGAGCAACUAACAUCAUUGCCACAGACCAGCUGCAGUCGAUGUAAGGUAUGAGGCUGACUUGCUGUAAUCUACACUUUCUCAUCAGACUUGGCCACCCAACCCAUAUGAGAUAUGUCCUUUGCAUCUAUGGAGAAGGUUUUUCUCUGUUUUAAAGGGAGGAAUGAAAAGUAUCCAGCGCAUCAUAAUAAACAGAUAGCAAGGACUUCCUUUUCUAAAGAAAUUUGGAAACUUCAAAUCUCCUUUCUUACAGUUUUCAGUGAGACCUCAUUGUGAACUUUUUCUGAUGGAAAGAAGUAUUUUCAAGAACAUCAAGUGCUUUCAAGAAUAAUUAAGAAUUAUUCCAAAGUACAUUCUAAUGGCUAUUUUAGCAAUUUGAAACUUCA